rnacentral:rRNA from 1 species
UACGAAGGGGGCUAGCGUUGCUCGGAAUCACUGGGCGUAAAGGGCGCGUAGGCGGACAAGUAAGUCGGGCGUGAAAUCCCUAGGCUCAACCUAGGAACUGCACUCGAAACUGCAUGUCUUGAGUACCGGAGAGGAAAGCGGAAUACCUGGUGUAGAGGUGAAAUUCGUAGAUAUCAGGUGGAACACCAGUGGCGAAGGCGGCUUUCUGGACGGUAACUGACGCUGAGGCGCGAAAGCGUGGGGAGCAAACAGG